GACGAACGCUGGCGGCGUGCUUAACACAUGCAAGUCGAGCGGUAAGGCCCUUUCGGGGGUACACGAGCGGCGAACGGGUGAGUAACACGUGGGUGACCUGCCCUCAGCUCUGGGAUAAGCCUGGGAAACCGGGUCUAAUACUGGAUAUGACUCCAUGACGCAUGUUGUGGGGUGGAAAGCCUUGUGCGGCUGAGGAUGGGCCCGCGGCCUAUCAGCUAGUUGGCGGGGUAACGGCCCACCAAGGCUAUGACGGGUAGCUGGUCUGAGAGGAUGGCCAGCCACAUUGGGACUGAGAAACGGCCCAGACUCCUACGGGAGGCAGCAGUGGGGAAUAUUGCGCAAUGGUCGAAAGACUGACGCAGCGACGCCGCGUGGAGGAUGACGCCCUCGGGUGGUAAC
rnacentral:rRNA from 1 species